rnacentral:lncRNA from 1 species
GAGAACCUUCCGAUUCACCUCUUUGAUUUCGUCUAUUAAAAGUUGUUCCUGUAUAAACAGAUAAAAAUGCAAACACGGAAAAUACAUUAACCUUAAGUACUCACGGAAAGUUGUUCUUCAUAAGAUACACUUAUGAAUAUUUUGUUAUGCAGGUUAUGUGCAUAUGGUCAAUUGGUACAAUAAUCAAAUCUUAUAGAGAAACAUAAAAGUAAAACUAUAUAGAAUACAUGUGAGCCCCUCAAGUUCCAUAUGCUGCCAACAAAACUAGAACGUGUACUUAUAAAAUAGGAACUACUGUUAAAAUAAUCAUCAGUAUUGUCAUUCCAAACAAAUAAAUAUCAAGUAUAUCAGCCCAGGUUCCAUGAUUAACAUUUUUUAAUAAAAAAAACUACAUUAAUCAAAAUAUACAAGAAUGUUCAUCCAGCAUCUUUAUGAUGUUUUAGCAUCUCCUAGCAACACUAUGUACUCAAAAUAGGUUAAUGGACAUCAAACAUUAAAAAAUCCAUGCAUUAAAAAUUAUGUCCUUGAAUUUUAAUGUUAAUACAAUAAUUAUAAUUACCAUUAUACAUUGCUUAAGAUGAAAAGUUUUUUUACCUUACAAAUAAGAUACACCUAAUUUUCUCAAAAAAACAUAUGUGACUAUUAAAAACAAAACCAUUAAAUUUGCACAAACAACAAUCACAAUCAGAACGAAGCACUCAAACUUACAAAUUCAUUAUCUUAAGCUUUAGUUCAUUUACUAGAUCAUUAGCAAAUGUGAAAAAUAUAUUAUAUAAACUAAAUUAAAUACAAGAAGCAAUUAAAUAAAUAGUAAAAUACAAUAGAUACUCUAUGCAUCUCAGCAAAUCCAUAAAAUUUAAAAUCAACUAUAAACUAGAAAUAUUAUCAUCAAUAAAAUCAUUAACCCCAAACAAACAAGUUGCACAUAUUGAAUUUUCAGCUUUUUAGUUCGGGCACAAUUCAAACCCAAUGAUAAAAAAAAGGGCAACAGCAGAAGGAAAGUCAAAUAAGGUAAAAAACAAAUAGGAGAGAAAAAAAAAACUUACGGCGGGGUAAUGACUAUCGAGCUUCUUCGUCAUGGCGCACUCAGAUUUACUGCGGCAUAACAAAUUCAACUAAAAUUAGGGAUAAACUAUAAGAGGAAAAACAGAAUUACUAACCUAUCUCCAUGAAAUCGAAUAAAAAAAUAGGAUUCUUCGAUCCGUAUCCGAAAUUAGAUACAGUGUUGAGUGUUCAAUCUAUCUCGAUGAAAUCUCCACGAACGAACAUGUCGUUGCCCAAAUAUGAAAAUGAUCUUCUUCUUUGACGGGUAUUGGAGUCUGCAAUUUGUUGGAGAAAAACCAAAAUUGCAGAUAAAAUUGGGGACUGCACGUUGGUGAGAAGAGGGGAAAGGGCAGAAGAAUAGGG